UACGAAGGGGGCAAGCGUUGUUCGGAAUUACUGGGCGUAAAGGGCGCGUAGGCGGCUUAUCAAGUCAGGCGUGAAAUUCCCGGGCUCAACCUGGGGGCUGCGCUUGAUACUGAUUGGCUUGAAUGCGGGAGAGGAUAGUGGAAUUCCCAGUGUAGAGGUGAAAUUCGUAGAUAUUGGGAAGAACACCAGUGGCGAAGGCGGCUAACUGGUCCAGAUCUGACGCUGAGGUGCGAAAGCGUGGGGAGCAAACAGG
rnacentral:rRNA from 1 species